UACAGAGGUCCCAAGCGUUGUUCGGAUUUACUGGGCGUAAAGGGUGCGUAGGUGGCGAGGUAAGUUCGAUGUGAAAUCUCCGAGCUCAACUCGGAAAUGGCAUUGAAUACUAUCCCGCUUGAGGGUCGGAGGGGAGACUGGAAUUCUCGGUGUAGCAGUGAAAUGCGUAGAUAUCGUAAGGAAGACCAGUGGCGAAGGCGAAUCUCUGGACAGUUACUGACACUGAGGCACGAAGGCCAGGGGAGCAAACGGG
rnacentral:rRNA from 1 species